AUCACCUUUGUGCUUCCUCUUGCAGAACGUCUAUUACACAAGCAAUCAGCAGCUCCACGUGGGUGUUCUGAGUCCUACUAUCGACGACGAUGACAACAGAUGUCUGGUGGAUGUGAACAGCAGGCCCAGGCUCAUUGAAUGCAAUUAUGCCAAAGCCAAGAGAAUGAAGCUUUACUGGCAGUUUACUCAGGGAGGCCCUAUCCAGAAUCGAAAAUCCAAGCGCUGCCUAGAAUUGCAGGAAAACAGCGAAAACGAAUUUGGAUUUCAGCUCGUCCUUCAGAAAUGCACUGGACAGCGCUGGUCUAUAACGAAUGUGCUGAAAAGCCUGUCAUCAUAGCAGAAUGAUUUUUUUUUCUACCCAGUCUUUUUGCUACUGUGUAGCAAAUAUUGCAAUGUUGCCUGCUGUACUGUAUUCCCCCUCUUUUCUUUCCUCUUUCCUGUCCCUUUGAUUUUCUUCGUGAGUGUGUGGAAGUUGGGUUUGUGGGCUGAAAAUAGACAUUUUUAUUUCACAAUGAUGUUUUCAUGGCAUUUAGAGAUAUGUUGAAUGACAGGUUAUGGUAAGUGAUCCUAAAAUAUUUUGCAACUGUAAAUACAAAACAAAUGGAGAAUAUUUAUAACUCAAGCUUUUAUUGAAUAAAAAAUUACAAACACUA